UAGUAUUUUUUAAUGUGAAGGUAAGUUAAAAUGAUAGAAGUAAAAGUCAUCAGUGAAGUAUAUGCCGAAAUCCCACGGUUGCAAAGUGUGAUUCCUCAGCUCUUAGAAAUUGGAUGAACAAAUUUUGGGGCAUCCGAAGUAUGCAGGGGUAAUUGCAGUCAUUGUGAUGUCAAACCCCCUUCCAAAAAUAAGGAGGAAACAGUGGGUCUGUUUGCAUAUUGUUUCUUUUUAAAUAAGAUGGUGUCCAGGCAGUUUUCGAGCAACUCAACUAAUUUCACCAGCAACAAUAUGCAUGUUGUUUUGUUAUCUGGAUUUUGUUCAUUUUCUUCAAUCCAAAAGGGCCAGGGAAGAGCCGGACCACAAGGGUCUAUCCUAUGCAGCCCCACCUUACCAUGGCUUGAACCCAUGACCUCCUGGUCACAUGACAACAACUUUGCUAGUUACUCCAUGGCUCCCCUUCGAAAAUGAAUUGAGGGGCAUUCCGAGAAUCCAUUCUCGUGAGCCUUUCAGUACCACCAAGAACAAACAGUUUGGAACUUUGAGAAAAUGGACUUUGGUUUGAAGAAUUUUGUGCUGUGGCUUCAUAGUGAUGUGUCUCUGAACAUUCUAAUGCGUUUGAAUGAUCCAGCUGAUGUGGUCUGUGCUGGUGCUGUUUCACGCCUUUGUCACUAAGCUGAUCUAGCAUGAGCAGUGCCACUAAAUCCACGAUAUUGAAUAUAUCUCGAAUUCAGAAAGAGGAAGGAGAAUCCUAAGGGCUAAUGCUUUUGAAUGAUCCAGCUGAUGUGGUCUGUGAUGGUGCUGUUUCACGCCUUUGGCGCCAAUUUGACCAGCAGCCGCUAUUGGAUUUAGAGGCGAUUAGAACUUCUAGAAUAUGAUAAAAAGUUCCCUACGCUGAAGAUGUUGAUUCUCCCUCUCCUUCUCCUUCCAUAUAGAUGCUUCCUUCAUUGACAUAAUAGGUAGCACACUCCUAAUGAUGUUAAUUUUCACAAAUGGUAAGUCAUAAAUUGCAUUUUGCUUUCUCUAUUUAGAGUCUUCUAUUCUUUUUCCCAUGUUCCCUAUACUUAAUGAGCCUAAUAGCUCAUAGUUGCGCUUUCCUUAUAUUCUUUCAUCAUUAUAGAUACUUGAAUAAAGAGGUUUACCAAUCAUAAAUAAUAAUUAAAGUGCCUUUCUGCUGUGAUAACAUUUCUUUGUGUGUAUCUAGAUCUAGGCUGAGCAAUGCCACAAAAUCCGCCAUAUGAAUAUACCUCAGAAAGAAGAAGGAGAAUCCUCUUAAGGGUAAAGCUAAUCCAAUCAUAAUCGGAUCUCUUUGAUUUGUUCUCAAUAUACACAACAACAACAACAACAACAAACCCAGUGUAUUCCCACCUAGUGGGGUCUGGGGGGGUAAGAUGUACGCAGUCCAUACCUCUACCUCUGAUGAAGUAGAAAGGCUAUUUCCGAUA